rnacentral:rRNA from 1 species
CCUACGGGGGGCUGCAGUGGGGAAUAUUGGACAAUGGGGGCAACCCUGAUCCAGCCAUGCCGCGUGUGUGAAGAAGGCCCUCGGGUUGUAAAGCACUUUCAGUGAGGAAGAACGCCUGGUGGUUAAUACCCAUCAGGAAAGACAUCACUCACAGAAGAAGCACCGGCUAACUCCGUGCCAGCAGCCGCGGUAUACGGAGGGUGCGAGCGUUAAUCGGAAUUACUGGGCGUAAAGCGCGCGUAGGUGGCUUGAUAAGCCGGUUGUGAAAGCCCCGGGCUCAACCUGGGAACGGCAUCCGGAACUGUCAAGCUAGAGUGCAGGAGAGGAAGGUAGAAUUCCCGGUGUAGCGGUGAAAUGCGUAGAGAUCGGGAGGAAUACCAGUGGCGAAGGCGGCCUUCUGGACUGACACUGACACUGAGGUGCGAAAGCGUGGGUAGCAAACAGGAUUAGAUACCCGUGUAGUC